CUCCUUUCUAAGGAGCACCACGAGAAACAUCCCCGGUUGGUGGGGGUGUGUGCCGUGUGGAGUCGGUUGCUGUAGUGGCGCCGGCUGGGUGCGCAACAAACGUGUUCAUCCCUGUGAAACGGGUGUUUUUUGGGGGUGGCGGGAUCACCGGACACACUAUUGGGCUUUGAGGCAACACGCCUGUGUUGUCGCCCCGUCUUUGGUGGUGGGGUGUGGUGUUUGAUUUGUGGAUAGUGGUUGCGAGCAUCUAGCACGCGCGAGCCUGGUGCCCCUGGUUUGUGGGGGUUUCGGGUUUGUGUGUGGG
rnacentral:misc_RNA from 1 species